ACGAACGCUGGCGGCGUGCUUAACACAUGCAAGUCGAGCGGUAAGGCCCUUUCGGGGGUACGACGAGCGGCGAACGGGUGAGUAACACGUGGGUGACCUGCCCUCAGCUCUGGGAUAAGCCUGGGAAACUGGGUCUAAUACUGGAUAUGACUCCACGGUGCAUGUCGUGGGGUGGAAAGCCUUGUGCGGCUGAGGAUGGGCCCGCGGCCUAUCAGCUUGUUGGUGGGGUGAGGCCUACCAAGGCGACGACGGGUAGCCGGCCUGAGAGGGCGACCGGCCACACUGGGACUGAGACACGGCCCAGACUCCUACGGGAGGCAGCAGUGGGGAAUCUUGCGCAAUGGGCGAAAGCCUGACGCAGCGACGCCGCGUGAGGGAUGACGG
rnacentral:rRNA from 1 species